UACGUAGGGGGCAAGCGUUGUCCGGAUUUAUUGGGCGUAAAGAGCGUGUAGGCGGCUAUACAGGUCCGCUGUGAAAACUCGAGGCUCAACCUCGAGACGCCGAUGGAAACCAUCUGGCUAGAGUCCGGAAGAGGAGAGUGGAAUUCCCGGUGUAGCGGUGAAAUGCGCAGAUAUCGGGAAGAACACCCGUGGCGAAGGCGGUUCUCUGGGACGGUACUGACGCUGAGACGCGAAAGCGUGGGGAGCGAACAGG
rnacentral:rRNA from 1 species